GAUAACUAGCUGUCCGGGGACUUGGUCUUUGGGUGGCGCAGCUAACGCAUUAAGUUAUCCGCCUGGGGAGUACGGCCGCAAGGUUAAAACUCAAAUGAAUUGACGGGGGCCUGCACAAGCGGUGGAGCAUGUGGUUUAAUUCGAAGCAACGCGCAGAACCUUACCAGCGUUUGACAUGGCAGGACGACUUCUGGAGACAGAUUUCUUCCCUUCGGGGACCUGCACACAGGUGCUGCAUGGCUGUCGUCAG
rnacentral:rRNA from 1 species